CAUAGGGAUUGUCAUCCACCUGCUGUCCUCCACUUGAGUUUGAAGUUCUUGAUCUGUCCCCGUUUUGCACCAGGGAGGCUCCAGUAGUCCCUGGAAAUGGAGGUACCCGUGUUAAUCAGAAUGUGACUCUGAACAAUUAUCUCCACAUCCAGAUUCCUGGACUUCUGUGGACAAUUUGGUCCAACUUGUGCCUUUAACUGGGGGGGAAGUGUGGCUUCUUCAUACUGAAAUCCUGUAGAGGCAUGGUGGCCAGAAAGGUUUCCAGGAGCAGUGUGGCUGGGCUUCUCUGGGUCUGUGAGCUCUCUGUGCCACAGAGGUCUACUCAUGGAGCAAUUCCUACUGGCUCCGGGUUAGAUGUCGGUUCAUGUGCUGUCCAUCUCCUCCUCAUGUCUCUUGCCGUAGAAGAUGACCCUGUGAGGAAGCCAGCCUGCGAUUGA
rnacentral:lncRNA from 1 species